rnacentral:rRNA from 1 species
UACAGAGGUCUCAAGCGUUGUUCGGAUUCAUUGGGCGUAAAGGGUGCGUAGGUGGCGCGGUAAGUCGGGUGUGAAAUUUCGGAGCUUAACUCCGAAACUGCAUUCGAUACUGCCGUGCUUGAGGACUGGAGAGGAGACUGGAAUUUACGGUGUAGCAGUGAAAUGCGUAGAUAUCAUGAGGAAGACCAGUGGCGAAGGCGGAUCUCUGGACAGUUCCUGACACUGAGGCACGAAGGCCAGGGGGAGCAAACGGGG